rnacentral:rRNA from 1 species
AUUGAACGCUGGCGGCAUGCCUUACACAUGCAAGUCGAACGGCAGCACGGGUGCUUGCUCCUGGUGGCGAGUGGCGAACGGGUGAGUAAUACAUCGGAACAUGUCCUGUAGUGGGGGAUAGCCCGGCGAAAGCCGGAUUAAUACCGCAUACGAUCUACGGAUGAAAGCGGGGGACCUUCGGGCCUCGCGCUAUAGGGUUGGCCGAUGGCUGAUUAGCUAGUUGGUGGGGUAAAGGCCUACCAAGGCGACGAUCAGUAGCUGGUCUGAGAGGACGACCAGCCACACUGGGACUGAGACACGGCCCAGACUCCUACGGGAGGCAGCAGUGGGGAAUUUUGGACAAUGGGCGAAAGCCUGAUCCAGCAAUGCCGCGUGUGUGAAGAAGGCCUUCGGGUUGUAAAGCACUUUUGUCCGGAAAGAAAUCCUUGGCCCUAAUACGGUCGGGGGAUGACGGUACCGGAAGAAUAAGCACCGGCUAACUACGUG